UUAUUAAAUCUUAGACUUUUUAAGACUUUUUAAGACCCUGCAGAAACCCUAGAAAAUACUAAAUCUUGGAGUACAUUUAGAUACUCAUUACUUAAAAAGCUCUAUAUACUCAUCAUUAUGAUUAGAAAAACUUGCAGAGAUUUGUCAAAGUUAUAGAAAGGAUCAAGUUUUCAAAUAAUGAUAAAAUGGACACAAGUGAAGCCCCUAAGUGCUUUGAGAGUCUAGUCAGUCAAGUGACACCAAAAAGGUUGACAAAUUUGAACUGUAUACAAAUGAGAGAUUAAAUCGCGUUGUAGUUCAUUGCAGAAAGAAAAAAAACCUUUUGACAGUUUGACAUAAUUCAAAUCACUUAAUUUCAAUGGGACCGUGCCAUUCAGAUCAGUUAAUCCAAAUGUUCCCUUUUUUUAAAUGAAGUGUUGUAAACUUUUGAACUUACAUAAUUGAACAACAAAGUAUGACAAGCUGCUUAUUCCAGAAAUGCCCCCCCCCCCCAAUCAGUACAUAUAUAUUGACAUUAUAGUGAAGUUAAUGAAAGGCAAAUACUGCUGCAAGAAAGGAAAAAAAAGAAGUCUUAAUAAAUAAAAGAAAAAGAUGUUCAGCAGUAAUAAAGUUUAUGUGAUUUGACUGAAACAAGCUGAAUCAUUCUAAAGCACAAUGAUCAUUACAAUAAUCAUGUUAUCUAUUUCAAUGGUCAGAUUUAUGCAGAUGUUCUUGGGCUCAUAUAUAAACAUGGUGUUUUCUUUUUGGGGUGUUCAUUAUGUCUUUUUAUUUGCACUAUAUUUAAAGUUUAUAUAAGAACAUAAUGCACUUUGUAUGAAAUUUGCUUUGCUGCAAGCUUUGUAGUCAUGAAACAGAAAAAUGUAAUGAUUAAUAUGAUUUAUAACCUGAAUUAUAAUCACAAAGUGGAACUGGUUGUGUAUCUCACUUGUACAUGCCACUAAUACUAAUAAAUAAACUAUAAAAGCUAAUA